rnacentral:snRNA from 1 species
GGAUGUGAGGGCAAUCUGGCUGUGACGUCUAUCACCCCAUUGAUUGCCAGGGUUGAUUCAGCUGAUCUGGAUGGCUAGGCAGGUGUCCCCUUCCUCCCUCAACGAUCCAUGUGCAUCCCUCCCAAAGCUGUGCGCUCGGUCGAAGAGGACGACCACCCCCGAUAGAGGAGGACCGUUCCUUGGUCAAGGAUAUAUGAGUAGCUGCGCUCUGCUUCUAGGACCUCCAAACAAGCUCUCAAGAUAUACCACAUAACACAAGGGCCUGAGCUCAAUCCCCAGUUCUGCCAAAAAAAAAAAAAGAUACAGCAUGUAAGAGAAAUUUUUAUAUUU